UUUUCCUUUUAUUCUUUCCUUUCUUACUCCCCCUCUUUCUCUCCAUCUCUCUCUGUUCACCCUCUCUUGCAUUUUCGUAUGAUUUCCUUUUCUUUCGUUUGAUUACUUACUGAUAUAUUAUUGAUUUAAACUAAUCCAUAUAUUUGAUAUUUAACUAACAUCUUUAUCAAUACAUUUAUAGUUCCCUUCGCUACCCUCUCUCUAUCUGUGUAUUUGCUUGUUUAUUUUAUUGCUUAGUUAUUGAUCUAUUGAUAUAUAUUCAGUUUAUCUAACACUUUAUAUCAGUAUAUAUAUUUUGUUUUUCUCAUUUUCUUCAUUUUUCAUUUUUGAUCCCCAUCCCACCGCUCUCCCUUUCCCCAUUCUGUGCGCUUCAUUUGAUUUCCUUUUAAUUUUAAUUAAAACCAAUCCAUUUAUUUCACUUUUAAUUCCAAUUAAUUUACUUUCUUUUCCUCACUCAUUCUUACUUAAGUACAGAGGUCCCGAACAGUGUAUACUCGUUAGGGUUAGUUUUAAGGUUAGCUUCUAAGGUUAGGGUUAGUUUGUAGGGUUAGGCUUACCUUCCCUUUAUAUCGUUACGUUGAUGCGUCGGGACCUCUGUAUUUAAGUAGUACCACUCUAUAUUUGUUCCUGUUUUAAUUUCUUGGCAUAUUGUUUCCUUUUCUUCUUUCUUUGUUGAGUGUUUUCUGCUUAUUUCUGUUAGUUCUGCAUUUUAUAUUUUUGUGUCUAUUCGUGAAAUAAUGUACUCUCGUCCAUAUCUCUUGCCCAAUGUGGCAGAAUUUUCUCCUUCAUAUUCUCGUUCCUAUCGUCACGCUUCUUCGUCGUCGUCUUCCGUUAAAUUGCCGCCGUUAAAGUUGUCAACAUCUAAGAAUUUAUCAGUGCUAAAAUCGUCUUCGUCUUUUCUGUCGACUUCAGUGAAUUUGCCAUCACCAAAUACAUUUCCGUUGUGUUCAGUGUCACCGCCUGCGCUUUCAGAGUCUGUAUCAUCGUUACCUAAAAUAUGUAAAACGUCAGAUGACUAUCUAGACACUAUUAAACGUAGAGCUCAUUACUUUACCCUUUUCAGGAAUCCUACUCCCGGCACUACCCCUAAGAUACCCGCUGAGUCAAAGAUACGCCUCAACAGGAAACUGUAUCCACUUCUAACCCAGAAAUUCAAUCAGAAGAAAGUUGUGAAGUUUGACCCAUUGGAGACUGUCUACGAGAUACCUACUUUGGAGGAACUGCAGAGCGAAAAGAAGGAGCUGAAACGACCGACCCAUAGAAGGAAGAGCUGAAGAGAAAGCGAAUGGAUGAAAUCUUCAGCUAAAGACAUGUCAUCGGUCUCACUGGUUCAGUGUAACAAAAUACGAAAAUGUUGUUAGAGAACAUUUUUAUGGAAGAAAGUUGGUAAAACAAUUGAAAAAUUCAAUUUGUGACAACGAGGUAAUUUCUUUUGCCGUUGUUUUAGAAAGACCACUGAUUAAUCUGAACAUGAAAAAUUUUAGAAAAAUCUAGAAAAGAAAUUUCAAAUGCAGAGGAGCAGUGAAAACAGCCAAGAUUGACAAAAUACUUUUAGAAAACGAAAACUGUAUAGCAAGCCACUACAGAGAAACCAUAUCAUUUAAAACACAGUUAAGCAUGUUGUACCAUUAAGCCACGUGAACUAUUACAUCAUCUAAUACCAACUUUUAUAAUGACAAAAAUAUUUUAAUUUAUGAAAACAAUCACCUUUUUUUUUGUCAGUUAA